UUUAUUUUCCCGUAUAUAGGUGAUUAUCUCGCAUUAAUGUGUGGCAUUAUUUUGUGUUGCAAACCCCACAUAUUUUAUAUGUUUCCGGGGUAGAAAAAUCCCAUGGAUUUUUCUGUGCAAUUAGUUUUAGCUUUUGAGUAAGUUGGUUCGCGAGAUAUUUUGCUUUGUUGCCCUUUUGAUUAAUCCGUAGGAUUUAUUCCGUGCCCCGUUCGAAUUAGCUGUCAACUAGAGAGUUGAUCUUGGAUGUUUUGUUUAGUCCCUGGUAUUUUUAGUUGCAAUAGAACUGCAUGUUUAGGU
rnacentral:lncRNA from 1 species